rnacentral:misc_RNA from 1 species
GGGUCUACAGGUUAUCUUCGGAU